rnacentral:rRNA from 1 species
GUUUAUCAAAAACAUCGCCUCUUGAAUUUCUAUAAGAGGUCCAGCCUGCCCAGUGACCCUGUUCAACGGCCGCGGUAUCCUAACCGUGCGAAGGUAGCGUAAUCACUUGUUCUCUAAAUGUGGACUAGUAUGAAUGGCAUCACGAAGGUUAUACUGUCUCCUUUUUCUAAUCAGUGAAACUAAUCUCCCCGUGAAGAAGCGAGGAUGAUAUUAUAAGACGAGAAGACCCUAUGGAGCUUUAAACAGUACAGCAUCUGCCCCAUAACACUAAAAUUUCUGAAUUAAAACUCCACUGGGCAGUAUGACUGCGAGUUUUUGGUUGGGGUGACCACGGAGCAUAAUACAACCUCCAUGCUGAAAGAAAAUUUCUAAGCUAAGGUCUACAAACUUAAGCAUCAACAUAUUGACAUCCAUUGACCCAAUACACUUGAACAACGAACCAAGUUACCCUAGGGAUAACAGCGCAAUCCACUUCAAAAGCUCCUAUCGACAAGUGGGUUUACGACCUCGAUGUUGGAUCAGGGUCUCCCAGUGGUGCAGCCGCUACUAAAGGUUCGUUUGUUCAACGAUUAAAACCCUACGUGAUCUGAGU